rnacentral:rRNA from 1 species
CAGCACCUCAAGUGGUCAGGAUGAUUAUUUGGCCUAAAGCGUCCGUAGCCGGCUUAUCAAGUCUUUUGUUAAAUCCAACGAUUCAAUCGUUGGGCCGCAAAAGAUACUGUUAUGCUAGAGGACGGGAGAGGUCGACGGUAGUCCAGGGGUAGGGGUGAAAUCCUAUAAUCCUUGGAGGACCACCAGUGGCGAAGGCGGUCGACUAGAACGUGCCUGACGGUGAGGGACGAAAGCUGGGGGAGCGAACCGGAUUAGAUACCCGAGUAGUCC